rnacentral:rRNA from 1 species
ACGAACGCUGGCGGCAUGCCUAACACAUGCAAGUCGUAACGAGGAUAGCAAUAUCCUAGUGGCGAACGGGUGAGUAACGCGUGAGCAACCUGCCUCAUACAACGGGAUACCCGAGGGAAACUUCGGUUAAUACGGUAUAAGACCACACUGCCGCAUGGCAGAGGGGUAAAAGGAGAAAUCCGGUAUGAGAUGGGCUCGCGUCGCAUUAGCUAGUUGGUGAGGUAACGGCCCACCAAGGCGACGAUGCGUAGCCGACCUGAGAGGGUGAUCGGCCACAUUGGGACUGAGAUACGGCCCAGACUCCUACGGGAGGCAGCAGUGGGGAAUAUUGGGCAAUGGAGGAAACUCUGACCCAGCAAUGCCGCGUGAAUGAAGAAGGUCUUCGGAUUGUAAAGUUCUUUAGUCAGGGAAGAAUAAAAUGACGGUACCUGAAGAAUAAGCUCCGGCUAACUACGUGCCAGCAGCCGCGGUAAUACGUAGGGAGCAAGCGUUGUUCGGAAUGACUGGGCGUAAAGGGUGC